rnacentral:rRNA from 1 species
UGGGGAAUUUUGGACAAUGGGCGAAAGCCUGAUCCAGCAAUGCCGCGUGUGUGAAGAAGGCCUUCGGGUUGUAAAGCACUUUUGUCCGGAAAGAAAUCCUUGGCUCUAAUACAGUCGGGGGAUGACGGUACCGGAAGAAUAAGCACCGGCUAACUACGUGCCAGCAGCCGCGGUAAUACGUAGGGUGCAAGCGUUAAUCGGAAUUACUGGGCGUAAAGCGUGCGCAGGCGGUUUGCUAAGACCGAUGUGAAAUCCCCGGGCUCAACCUGGGAACUGCAUUGGUGACUGGCAGGCUAGAGUAUGGCAGAGGGGGGUAGAAUUCCACGUNUAGCAGUGAAAUGCGUAGAGAUGUGGAGGAAUACCGAUGGCGAAGGCAGCCCCCUGGGCCAAUACUGACGCUCAUGCACGAAAGCGUGGGGAGCAAACAGGAUUAGAUACCCUGGUAGUCCACGCCCUAAACGAUGUCAACUAGUUGUUGGGGAUUCAUUUCCUUAGUAACGUAGCUAACGCGUGAAGUUGACCGCCUGGGGAGUACGGUCGCAAGAUUAAAACUCAAAUGAAUUGACGGGGUCAAU